GACGAACGCUGGCGGCGUGCCUAAUACAUGCAAGUCGAGCGCAGGAAACUGACGGAACUCUUCGGAGGGAAGGCAGUGGAAUGAGCGGCGGACGGGUGAGUAACACGUAAGGAACCUGCCUCAAGGAUUGGGAUAACUCCGAGAAAUCGGAGCUAAUACCGGAUAGUUCAACGGACCGCAUGGUCCGUUGAUGAAAGGCGCUCCGGCGUCACCUUGAGAUGGCCUUGCGGUGCAUUAGCUAGUUGGUGGGGUAACGGCUCACCAAGGCGACGAGGCAUAGCCGACCUGAGAGGGUGAUCGGCCACACUGGGACUGAGACACGGCCCAGACUCCUACGGGAGGCAGCAGUAGGGAAUCUUCCACAAUGGACGAAAGUCUGAUGGAGCAACGCCGCGUGAGUGAUGAAGGUUUUCGGAUCGUAAAACUCUGUUGUAAGGGAAGAACACGUACGAGAGGAAAUGCUCGUACCUUGACGGUACCUUACGAGAAAGCCACGGCUAACUACGUGCCAGCCGCCGCAGUAA
rnacentral:rRNA from 1 species